rnacentral:rRNA from 1 species
GACGGAGGAUGCAAGCGUUAUCCGGAAUUAUUGGGCGUAAAGCGUCCGCAGGUGGCUGUUCAAGUCUGCUGUCAAAGCGCAGAGCUUAACUCUGUACAGGCGGUGGAAACUGAAGAGCUAGAGUAUGGUAGGGGUAGAGGGAAUUCCCGGUGUAGCGGUGAAAUGCGUAGAGUAUCGGGAAGAACACCAGUGGCGAAAGCGCUCUCAGCUGGGCCGAUAACUGACACU